rnacentral:rRNA from 1 species
AGAGUUUGAUCAUGGCUCAGAUUGAACGCUGGCGGCAUGCCUUACACAUGCAAGUCGAACGGCAGCGCGGGGCAACCUGGCGGCGAGUGGCGAACGGGUGAGUAAUAUAUCGGAACGUACCCUGGAGUGGGGGAUAACGUAGCGAAAGUUACGCUAAUACCGCAUACGAUCUAAGGAUGAAAGUGGGGGAUUCGCAAGAACCUCAUGCUCCUGGAGCGGCCGAUAUCUGAUUAGCUAGUUGGUGGGGUAAAGGCCUACCAAGGCAUCGAUCAGUAGCUGGUCUGAGAGGACGACCAGCCACACUGGAACUGAGACACGGUCCAGACUCCUACGGGAGGCAGCAGUGGGGAAUUUUGGACAAUGGGCGAAAGCCUGAUCCAGCAAUGCCGCGUGAGUGAAGAGGGCCUUCGGGUUGUAAAGCUCUUUUGUCAGGGAAGAAACGGUGGAGGCUAAUAUCCUCUGCUAAUGACGGUACCUGAAGAAUAAGCACCGGCUAACUACGUGCCAGCAGCCGCGGUAAUACGUAGGGUGCAAGCGUUAAUCGGAAUUACUGGGCGUAAAGCGUGCGCAGGCGGUUUUGUAAGUCUGAUGUGAAAUCCCCGGGCUCAACCUGGGAAUUGCAUUGGAGACUGCAAGGCUAGAAUCUGGCAGAGGGGGGUAGAAUUCCACGUGUAGCAGUGAAAUGCGUAGAGAUGUGGAGGAA